rnacentral:lncRNA from 1 species
UGUUAGUAGAAUUUCAGGCAUCUAAGUAGUCAAGGAAACCCCCUCUCCAUGCUGUUCAAUGGACUUUUCCUGAGCCCCUUACACAUCUUUCCAUUUGCUAACUCUACCUGCUGAUACUGAUGCUUUAUCUAAUCAUCAAUGGGAUUCCUCUUGAAAUGGAAGGCAAAGUUCAACCCUGAAUGUGUGCUGGCCUGGCUCCUUCGCAGUGACAAAAACAUGCAACUGUCUCUUCUUUACCUCUCUGGCUCAUCAGGGAGGAACUGUUUACGUGCCUUUGUUUCCCAGCCUGUGAAAGGAAGAUAACACUUGCUCCAACAUGCUUUUCAGCGGGUGAUGUGAAGAUAAAUGUGAUAACGUCUACAAAGUCCUCCAAAUUCUCGGGAUGAAAUGUGCUAUGUAAAUGGAACACAGCCCCGUUAUGAUUGAAGUUUAAUGCAGCAGCUCUCAGGCCUAUACAGGGAAUGCAGUCUGGCUGGAAGAUGAUGGAACUGAGGCAUGAUGAAAGCCCCUCGUAAGUAAGGGAGCUGGGAUUUGCUCCCAUGCUCCUAGCCACUUCAGUCUAUCGCCCUUC